UACGGAGGGUGCAAGCGUUAUCCGGAUUUACUGGGCUUAAAGGGUGCGUAGGUGGGUUGGUAAGUCAGUGGUGAAAUCUUCGAGCUUAACUCGGAAACUGCCAUUGAUACUAUUAAUCUUGAAUUAUCUGGAGGUAAGCGGAAUAUGUCAUGUAGCGGUGAAAUGCUUAGAUAUGACAUAGAACACCCAUUGCGAAGGCAGCUUACUACGGAUACAUUGACACUGAGGCACGAAAGCGUGGGGAUCAAACAGG
rnacentral:rRNA from 1 species